GUAGUUAUGGAUGGCACACUUGGGUUUGAUGACUCAAAGGUAUUGAGCAAAAUGUUGGAUUCAGGGCAGUUCUCAGCCAUCUCUUGAGAUGCGUAUAGACAGCCUUUGGGUUUUGUACGUUGCUCAGUGUUUUGGGUAUGAAGAGAUAAUAGUUUAUUGUGCGCGACUGACCAAUCAGCGUACGGCUUUAGUCGACGCAAGUAAACUCCUGUUUUUGAUAUGUUCGUGAUAUGCUUUUGUGUUGAUGUGGCGCUUGUUGUAAUCGAAGUAAAAUUAUAUCGUACUCGCCCCCAUUGCAUACAAAUUAAAGGGGCUUGUAUUUGUCUCCUAUUCUGCAUUUGCUAAAUGAGAUAUUGAACAGUCAACUAUAAGACGCGAUGUGGUUUGUUGAUCCGUAAUUUUUGUUUAGUGUAUCUGGGUCCCAGCGAACAAGCAUGGGUGUAUACGGCUUUCGUGGAACAACAUGCUGCGUAGCGUCCGGCCGCCAUUAUACUUUAGGGAGUGGGUUUUUGUCAGAUGAAUACCGGAAGGCUACUUUUGGAAAACGGCAAUGUCAGGCUCUAAACGCACAAGGACAGGUGAUAGUGCAUAGCUUUGUCGGCGACAGGCAUUUCUGGACAUGACCAUUACGCAUUCCUGCCCGUGAACGCCUACUUGUAAAAUCCGUUUUUUCCGUAGGCCGUUUUGUGUCCUUGCAUUUGUGGAUGUCGCGAAACGAGUUUGGAAAAACAAGGUGUUCGGACAAAAGUUAGAUUAACGUGUUUUCGCAGCUGUCUCACGGGACGCAUGAUAUUUGAGCAUUGCUUUUCUGCGCGUUGCUGAGGUUCAUAUAAGGCAAAAAAUCUUGCGCUGCUUGUAGGGGACAACCCAGGGGACUGAAAGGGUGGAGGGUUGGACGGAUGGAUGGUCCUGUUUUUGGUAUGUGAGUUUCAUGGCAAUUGGAAUAUUCCAUUGGAGUCGGUUUUAUCGCAUACCGUUUGACGGAAUUGCAUGAGGCACGUCUUUGUUGGAACGAUUUUUGAUGUAGUAAAAUGCGUCCCAGCAGGUUUGCAUUACGGUUGCUACGCACACUAACAUGGCGAUAUCCAGCACUUUUGGAAUGAUGUGCUCCGUAAUCCGUGAUUUCUGUUCUACUUCAGUUUGUACGCAUCUGGCGGAUGAGUGCAUGAAAGCGGUUGGAGGCAGAGGAAAACGUCAAACUUAGAGACAUAAGGCAAAUGAUAAUGCCGAGCUGCAGCGGUAGCAGGCAUUGAUGGCCAAGAGCAUCACGGGUUCUUCGCCGAAAAUGCACACCUGUGGAAUACAUUUGUCAUUUAGUAUGUCAUCUCCUGUUCUUGUGUUUAUGAGUGCUACAGAAGGGUUUUGGUGAAACCUGCGCAUUGAGUAAGCUGUUGCGCCUUUGUGUCCUUUGUUUGUCGGAACUUUGCUGGCCCUUUCGUGCCUCGCGGCGUGUUUGUGAACUGCUGGCACUGACUGCGUUGUGACCUUUGGUCUACGUGCACAAUGAACAGCUAACUCAGAACUGGAGCGGACAAGGGGAAUCCGACUGUUUAAUUAAAACAAAGCAUUGCUCUGGCCGCAAACGGUGUUGACGCAAUGUAAUUUGUGCCCAGUGCUCUGAAUGUCAAUCUGAUGAAAUUCAAUCAAGCGCGGGUUAACGGCGGACGUAACUAUGACCGUCGUAAGGUAACCAAAUGCCUCGUCCUCUAAUUAGUGACGUUCAUGAAUGAAUUAACAAAAUUUCCACAGUCCCUAUCUAUCAUCUAGCGAACCCAGAGCCAGGGGAACGGGCUUGGCAAAAGCAGCAGAGAAAGAAGACCCUGUUGUGCUUGACUCUAGUCCGACUUUGUGAAAUGACUUGGGGGAUGUAGGAAUAGGUGGGAGCUUCGGCGAUCGUGAAAUAUCACUACCCUCAGUAUCGUUUUACUUAUUCCGUCAAGUUCAGACGCAUGGUUUGCAUGUGUUUUUGUCUUAAGGUGCCUUUUGGCGCUGAUCAAUGCGGAAGACACAGCCAGGUGGGGAGUUUGGUUGAGGCGGCAUAUCUGUGAAACAAUAGCGCAAGUGUCCUAAGGCAAGCUCAAUGAGAACAGAAGUUUUAUGCUGACCAACAGAGGAAAAAGCUUGCUUGAUUUUGAUUUUAAGUAGGAAUACAAACUGUGAAAGCAUGACCUAUCGAUCUUUUAGGUCUGAGAAAUUUUCAGCUAGAGGUGUCAAUAAAGUUACCACAGGGAUAACUGGCUUGUGGCGCCAAGCUUUUAUAGAGACGUUGCCUUUUAAUCUUUCGAUGUCGGUUCUUCUUAUCAUUAAGACGCAGAAUUCUCAAAGUGUCGGAUUGUUUACUCACCUAUAGGAAACAGCUGCUACAUUCAUCGCAAACGACUUUGGCGCAACCAGGUAUUGUAAGUGUAAGAGUAGGCUUGUCCUACGAUCCACUGAGAUUUAGCCUGCGUUGUCCAAUCUCUUCAUUUUUCAUCUUCUAUUAUUGCUUGCUGGGAUGGGAAAAACGGUUCUGGCAGAUGUACCGUGCCAACACUAUAUGUGCACAUCUUCUGAAUACGCCAAACGAAUUUACUACACACAUUUUUUUGUCAGAAACGAGCCCAAAUGGCACUAAAAAACCAGGAUUGUGACGUGUUGAUAAAGUCCAUGGGUGUGCUUGCUGAGGUAGAAGGCUUCAGCAAAUAUCUGAUUUCAAUGCUUGCUGGGAUAUUGAGUCCCCUGCAUAGUUGGCCGUGCGUGCCAUUCAUGUAUGCGUGCUGAUAUUCCUAGAUUGC
rnacentral:rRNA from 1 species